rnacentral:misc_RNA from 1 species
UCGUAACAAGGUUUCCGUAGGUGAACCUGCGGAAGGAUCAUUAACGCGCAGGCCGGAGGCUGGCCCCCCACGAUAGGAAUCAACGUUCCAUCAGGGGUGUGCAGAUGUGCGCCGGUCUUACGCCCCAUUCUUGUCUACCUUACUCGGUUGCCUCGGCGGGCCGCGCUCUCCUGGGAGAGUCGUCCGGCGAGCCUCUUUGGGGGCUUUAGCUGGAUCGCGCCCGCCGGAGGACAGACAUCAAAAAAUCUUGGAAAGCUGUCAGUCUGAGCGUUAGCAAGUAAAAUUAGUUAAAACUUUCAACAACGGAUCUCUUGGUUCCGGCAUCGAUGAAGAACGCAGCGAAAUGCGAUAAGUAAUGUGAAUUGCAGAAUUCCGUGAAUCAUCGAAUCUUUGAACGCACAUUGCGCCCUCUGGUAUUCCGGGGGGCAUGCCUGUUCGAGCGUCAUUUCAACCCCUCAAGCCCGGCUUGUGUGAUGGACGACCGUCCGACCUCCUCUUUCGGGGGCGGGACGCGCCCGAAAAGCAGUGGCCAGGCCGCGAUCCCGGCUUCCUGGGCGAAUGGGCAGUCAAACCAGCGCCCUCAGGACCGGCCGCUCUGGCCUUCCCCCAAAUCUCUCUGAGAUAUUUUUUCAGGUUGACCUCGGAUCAGGUAGGGAUACCCGCUGAACUUAAGCAUAUCAAUAA